rnacentral:ribozyme from 1 species
UGCCCGGCAACUCCUAUCCCUACCUCCUCACGGUACUGGCCGGGGUAUGAGCAACCCUAGGGAAGAUUGGGGAACCUACCCGGUGGGAAGUUUAUUCAUAUGCUGACAGGGAAUC